GCUCAGGGCAGGGAGGAAGCAGCCGCUGUCAUG
rnacentral:SRP_RNA from 1 species